CUCCAGCUGUAUCAGGUGCACCUACACACCUUAACACUCCAGCUGUAUCAGGUGCACCUGCACACCUUAACACUCCAGCUGUAUCAGGUGCACCUGCACACCUUAACACUCCAGCUGUAUCAGGUGCACCUGCACACCUUAACACUCCAGCUGUAUCAGGUGCACCUACACACCUUAACACUCCAGCUGUAUCAGGUGCACCUGCACACCUUAACACUCCAGCUGUAUCAGGUGCACCUGCACACCUUAACACUCCAGCUGUAUCAGGUGCACCUGCACACCUUAACACUCCAGCUGUAUCAGGUGCACCUGCACACCUUAACACUCCAGCUGUAUCAGGUGCACCUGCACACCUUAACACUCCAGCUGUAUCAGGUGCACCUAC